rnacentral:tRNA from 1 species
GGGAGUGUAGCUCAACCUGGCUAGAGCAUCUGACUCUUAAUCAGAGGGUUGGGGGUUCAAAUCCCCUCACUCCCG